GACGAACGCUGGCGGCGUGCUUAACACAUGCAAGUCGAACGGAAAGGCCCUGCUUUUGUGGGGUGCUCGAGUGGCGAACGGGUGAGUAACACGUGAGUAACCUGCCCUUGACUUUGGGAUAACUUCAGGAAACUGGGGCUAAUACCGGAUAGGAGCUCCUGCUGCAUGGUGGGGGUUGGAAAGUUUCGGCGGUUGGGGAUGGACUCGCGGCUUAUCAGCUUGUUGGUGGGGUAGUGGCUUACCAAGGCUUUGACGGGUAGCCGGCCUGAGAGGGUGACCGGCGACAUUGGGACUGAGAUACGGCCCAGACUGCUACGGGAGGCAGCAGUGGUGAAUAUUGCACAAUGGGCGGAAGCCUGAUGCAGCAACGCCGCGUGCGGGAUGACGGCUUUCGGGUUGUAAACCGCUUUCGACUGUGACGAAGCGUGAGUGACGGUAAUGGGUAAAGAAGCACCGGCUAACUACGUG
rnacentral:rRNA from 1 species